UGCAAGUCGAACGAGCCUCUGGGGGGUAACUCCUAGAGGAAAGUGGCGAAAGGGGCAGUAAUGUAUGGGUAACCUACCUUGAGGUCUGGGAUAGCUAUUCUAACGGAUAGGUAAUACCGGACGGCCUGAGUUGUCGGCAUCGAUGAUUUAGUAAAGGUUACGCCUCGAGAGGGGCCCAUAUGAUAUUAGCUAGUUGGUGAGGUAAUGGCUCACCAAGGCAAAGAUGUCUAGCGGGUGUGAGAGCACGACCCGCGUCACUGGCACUGAGACACUGGCCAGACUCCUACGGGAGGCUGCAGUCGAGGAUCUUCGGCAAUGGACGCAAGUCUGACCGAGCAACGCCGCGUGUGCGAUGAAGGCCUUCGGGCUGUAAAGCACUGUCGAGGGGAAACAAGCCGUAAGGUUGAGUGACCGGGGGGGGAAGCACGGGCUAAGUUCGUGCCAGCAGCCGCGGUAAGACGAACCGUGCAAACGUUAUUCGGAAUCACUGGGCUUAAAGGGCGCGUAGGCGGGUAAUCAAGUCAAUGGUGAAAGCCUCCAGCUUAACCGGAGAAGUGCCUUUGAUACUGAUUGUCUAGAGUGAGGUAGGGGCAUGUGGAACUUCCGGUGGAGCGGUGAAAUGCGUAGAUAUCGGAAGGAACGCCAGUGGCGAAAGCGAUGUGCUGGACCUUUUCUGACGCUGAGGCGCGAAAGCUAGGGG
rnacentral:rRNA from 1 species